AAUCAAAGGAUUCGGAGGUCUUCUCUCAUUGACUAUCUACUGAGAGAAAACUAUAGGUUCAUGCGUGAAACCCCCGCCCUCCCCCCCGCAAUUACCCAAUGAAAGCAGUUUCGAGGUAGUGACGAGAAAUAACAAUGAAUAACAAUGAUACUGACCUCUGUAUCAGCGUCGCGUGAAAUUCCGGUAAUAUUUCAACAAUUGUUGUUGGCUAUAGGCAGUCGCUUCUCGUUAUCCUUUCGUUCACGAACGAGAGGGCAUUUUAUGCUUUGUAAUUGGAAUGGUGGCAAUGUAAACGCCUUCCAGAGUAACAAUUGGAGGGCAAGUCUGGUGCCAGCAGCCGCGGUAAUUCCAGCUCCAAUAGUGUAUAUUAGAGUUGUUGCAGUUAAAAAGCUCGUAGUUGGAUUUCCGUCGUGGUCUGCCUGCGCUGCCCGUAUGGGUGUGCGCGUGGUUUGCCCUCGGCAUUCUUCCGGUAGCUUGUGCCGCUUAAUUGCGUCUGCAAGUGUUCUGGAACUUUUACUUUGAGAAAAAUAAAGUGUUUCAAGCACGCUUGUCGCCCUGAAUACUGCAGCAUGAAAUAAUAGAAUAGGACCUCGGUUCUAUUUUGUUGGUUUCUAGGACCAAGACAAUGAUUAAUAGGGACAGUUGGGGGCAUUCAUAUUUAACUGUCAGAGGUUAAAUUCUUACAUUUGUUAUAGACGAACUACUGCGAAAGCAUUUGCCAAGGAUGAUUUCAUUAAUCAAGAAUGACAGUAGGGGGUUUGAAGACGAUUAGAUACCGUCGUAAUCUCUACCAUAAACUAUGCCGACUAGCGAUAGCCAAACGCCUACCUUCCUUAUACGCCCUAAAAACCCUUCUUGGCUGCAUGCGCAAACACUGUAAACAGUUGUUGAGAACUUUA
rnacentral:ncRNA from 1 species